UACGUGGGGACCAAGCGUUGUUCGGAUUUACUGGGCGUAAAGGGCGCGUAGGCGGCAUGACAAGUCACUUGUGAAAUCUCCGGGCUUAACUCGGAACGGCCAAGUGAAACUGUCAAGCUAGAGUGCAGAAGGGGCAAUCGGAAUUCUUGGUGUAGCGGUGAAAUGCGUAGAUAUCAAGAGGAACACCUGAGGUGAAGACGGGUUGCUGGGCUGACACUGACGCUGAGGCGCGAAAGCCAGGGGAGCAAACGGG
rnacentral:rRNA from 1 species